rnacentral:lncRNA from 1 species
CGGCGAGCAAGCAGAGAAAAUGUGAAGGGGGAAGAGUUAGAGUAAGAGGCGGAGGAGGAGGAGGACAAGGGUUAGCAGGAAAAUCAGGGAGGCGAACCACCUUCCUCCCAGCUGUUCCCUGAAUAUAUAUAGUGUUGCUGCUGUCGCUGCUGCUGCUGCUGUUGCCCGUGCUGCUGCUGCUAUUGCUGCUGCUGCUGCUGCUGUUGUUACUAUUACAGUGCCGAUGAUGGUGGUGGCUGCUGCUACGGUAGAGGCAGAAGAGGAGGUGGUGUUCGCGCGCGAGUUGGUUGGUUGGUGCAAGGAAAUGCUGUUAAUACAGGCUUCUGUAUUUCCAUAGUCAGACUGUCUCUAUUUCUCUCUAUUAUAACACACACACACACACGCACACAUAUAUAUAAAUAUAUAUACAUACUUACAGCCUACCUCUCUCUGUAAAUAUAUUUCAAACACUCACAUACUCACUGUCUGUCCCCCUAUCUAUCUAUCUAUCUCUUAAAACACGCACAAUCUCUGACUCUUUCUCUCUCAAUCUCUCCAACACUCAAGCAUACACUCGCACACGCGCAUCCUUCAACGCACACACGCACGUCUCUCUCUCUUCUCUCUUCUCAUACACGCGCUGUCCUUCUUUCUCUCUAUCUUUCUCUUCUUCCGGUUUCUCAACCCCAUAAACUGUCUCUAUCGCAUCUCUCCUCCCCAUCAUUUUCUAAAAUCACACACGUACACUUUCUCUAUCUGCUUUUCCCUCACUCUUUCUCUCUCUCUCUCACUAUAUCUGUCUAUCCUUUCCUCUCAAACACUCGCACCUCACUGUCUUUCUAUUUCUCUCCUCCCACUCUUUCCCUCAAACACACGCGCGCGCACUUGCUUCCUAUAUCUUUCCUCCCACCCUCUCUCUCUCUCUUUCUUAACUACACGCGCGCACUUGUUUCCUAAUUCUUUUUCUCGUUCUUUCUCUUUCCUUCUUUCUUUCAAACCUUCACACACGUACUUACUUUUCUCUCUGUCACACACUCUGUCCUUUCGUUCUCCAUCUCUGUUUCCCUCUCUCUCUUUGCCCCUUUUUAUCCACCGACCAGCCAACCAGCCUACAGACCGACAACCGACCAGCCUUUGCUACCAACGGACCAGCCAGCCAACCAACCACUCGGCCGCCUCUUCUUCAGACAUGUGUUGUUGUUGGUGGACGUAGGAUGUAAAAACAACAACAACAGCAGCAACAACAACAACAACCACCCACAAAUCCGACCGUCCGCGCGCGCGUGUGGCUUUUGUUAUGUGUGUGUGAAUGUGUGCGUGUGUGCGUGCCGUAUGUGUGUAUGUAUGUAUGUAUGUUUAUAAGUGAAUGCGUUGUCAACCGCAAUCCGACCAACCUAACAUACGUGCAUACACAUACAUAAACACGUACAUGCAUACACACAAACGUACAUGCGAUAUAUACACACACGCACAUGCACAUAUAAUACACGGCCGCGCGCACCAAGGUAUAUAUACAGAAAUAUAUAAUAUAUAUACUCAUGGAUAGACGUACAGACAGACAGAGAGAAAAAGAGAAAGAAGUAAAGACGCAAUCUUCAAACCAGAGGAUACAUACAAUAUAAUAUAUAUCUAUAUACAUAUAUAUACCUACAUAUAUUCUCAUAUAUACACAUAUAUAUACACGGAGAACUUUACGGACGAGACGGUUUUACAAUUGGAGUGCUUCAAAAAUUUUCUGGUAAAUGAUUUUUAAAACCAUUUUUGUACAAAACAAACGAAUCACUUGGAUUAUUAUUAUUACUGUUAUUAUUAUUAUUAUUAUUAUUAUUAUUAUUAUUAUUAUUAUUAUUAUUAUUAUUAUUAUUAUUAAUGCUUUUGUUGUUUUGUGCUUAAGGACCAUCGCUGAUACUCGUGUAUGUUUUUUGUGUGUAUCUAUAUGUAUAUAUAUAUUUGUUCAUGUAUAUAUGUAUAUAUAUAUAUAUACCGCAAACACUAGCGUAACUGUUUAUGUGUGUCUGUAUAUAAAUAUAUGUAUGUAUACAGAUGUGUGUACAUAUAUAUAUAUAUAUAUACAGAUGUGUGUGUGUGUGUAUUUACACGAACUUCGAAGGAUGGCGAUAUAUGUAUAUAUUUAUACAUACUUACACGCGCAUUUCUGUAUAAUUUUAGGUAUAUACGUUCGUUUAUUUUAUACGUCUAUGUAGAUACACAUAUUUAGACAUACGUAUAUUAUACACACACUCGAACACACACACACACACACACACAUACAUUCGAUACACGCGCAGAUAUACACGCAUACAUUUAUGUAUAAAUUUUAUUCUUAAAUUUUUGUGUACACAACUAUCCAUCCAUCCAUCCAUAUAUAUAUAUAGAUAGAUAUAGAAAUAGAUAUAGAUAUUUACAUAUAUGUAGGUAUAUAUUCAUAUAUAUAUAUAUAUAUAUAUAUAUAUAUAUAUAUAUAUAUACACACACACACACGCUCGCUCCUCGUCUUUUAUCAACCAUCUAACCCCACUCUAUAUGUUUUUCGUUAGAGUACCUGUAAUCUACUGGAAAUUUCAUUCGAUCGAAUUUUAUAUCUUUGCUAACCAUUCGCUCACAUUAAACUACACUAAAAAAUGUAGCGUUAAAACCUUAACCAAACAUCGUAAUUCUUUGCGGUUUAUUUUUCGACUCGUGUUCAAAUCUAGACCAAAUCGUUUCAUUUUCUUGGGGCUCUUUAAAAUGAACUAAUGCCGUUUUUUAAGUCUACUACCCUCACCCAACUUAUGAUCCCAGAUUUUUGUGAUCCCUGCUUUGUCUUUCAUCCUUCUAGGGAACUCUGUUGAUAGAUGAAAUACAAGUGAAAUACUAGGGUCGAUUUAAUCGACUAACCCCUACCUUAAAAAUCCUUAUCGUUGUGCCUUAAAUUGAAAAUCGGUGUUGGUGAGGUGGCAAAGUUGUUAAGAGCAUCAGACAAAUUGCUCAGCGGUUUUUCUUCCGACGCUUUACGUUCCGAGUUCCAAUUCCACCGAGGUCAACUUUCCUUUUUAUCUUUUCGGGGUCGAUAAAAUAAAGUAGCGCUCAAGUGCUGGGGUCGUUGUCAUUGCUCAACCUUGUAAUCGCUGGCCUUGUGCCGAAAUUUGGAAGAAUUAUUGUGGACCUUGUGGCGUAUUUAUUGCAUGUGGCGAAAUAAGAAAUUUACUGUAUCAGUAAUACAUCAGGGUGGUUUGGAUCGACUAUGUACCCAUCCCUACUCCUCGUGAAACAUUCCCCCACCUCUUCGAGAAAUUGGCUUUUCACCUUAGGUAAAAUAUCUUGAGGGCCAUCAUCAUCAUCAUCAUCAUCAUCAUCAUCAUCGUUAUUUGCGUUCUGAGAUCGAUUAAAUAAAUACCAAUCAAUAACUGAUGUCGAGUUCAUCAAUAUCUCCCCUCCACACCAAAUCUAUGGUGUUGUGCUUAUGUUAGAAUUUAUUACGUAUGGACAACAACGUUCUGAGUUCAAAUUUCACCUACGUUCAAGCUUUGUCUUUCUUUCUACCCAAGUCGAUAUAAUAAAAUACCAAUGAUCUACUGGGGUCGAUACGACCGAUCAAUCACAUUCCUCCGAAAUUAUGGUCUUCUAUCUAUGUUAGAAACUAUCGUUAUCUACGACUCUACGUUAGGAGUUCAAAUCCCGCCGGGUCAGUUCUUACUUCCCAUCUCGUUGGGAUCGAUAAAUUAAUGUACCAGUCAUGUACCGGGGUCGAUAUGAUCGAUUGUUCUAACCACAAAUUUCUGGCCGUGUGCCUAACUCGACAGCGAUUAUGAUUUUUAUUCACGAUGCCUCGCCGUUGUGAGUUCGAAUCCUGUUGAGGUCUAAUUUAAGCUGUUCUUACCUGUGGGGUCAAUAUAUAAGAUGUUUAGCCUUGUUUCAUUGUCGGAUAUAACAAAUGACGACUAUUUAUCAUUCUCCCAAAAUCGAUAGCAUAAGUUACCAAGUUAACAUUAUUAGGGGGGCGGGUUUCAAUUCCAAGCUAGUACCUUCGACAUGUCCCCUGUGGUAGCCUAAACAGUUUCUAUCUUUUUACCUAAGUUCGAAAGAAACUAUAAUUAUCAAUAUAACGAACAUGUUUCUGUUUUUCCUUCUUUUCUUCUCCUCCUUUCCAUCAUCAUCAUCAUCAUAAUCAACAACAACUACAACAACGUCAUCGUCCUUAGAAAAUCGGGGUGGGGGAACUUAUUUCUUAUGACACUUUACAAUCUGAGUUCGAAUUCCGCUGGGAGUCGGCUUUACCUUUCGUUCUAUCGUGGUCGAUGAAAUAAAGAACCAGUCAAGUACUGGAGUGGAUAUAAUCAUCUAGCCCCCCCCCCAAAUAAAAUUCAGGCCUUGUGCUUAUAGAAGAAACGAUUAUUUAUUAUCAUUAUUAAUAGUAUUAUCAUUACUAUCAUUAUUAAUAGUAUUAUCAUUACUAUCAUUAUUAAUAGUAUUAUCAUUACUAUCAUUAUUAAUAGUAUUAUCAUUACUAUCAUUAUUAAUAGUAUUAUCAUUAUCAUUAUCAUUAUUAUUAUUAUUAUCAUUAUUAUUAUUAUUAUUAUUAUUGUUAUUGUUAUUAUUGUUAUUAUUAUUAUUAUUAUUAUUAUUAUUAUUAUUAUUAUUAUCAUGCAAAGGUGGGCAGCUGGCAGAAUCGUUAACGCGUCGGAAAAAUUGCUUAGCGGCAUUUCAUCCGUCUUUCUGUUCUGAGUUCAAAUUCCGCCGAGGUCGACUUUGCCUUUCAUCCUUUUGGAGGAUGGGGAUCGAUGAAGUAAGUACCAGUUGAACACUAGGGUCGAUGUAAUCGACUUACCCUCCUCCCCCGGAAUUGCUGGUCUUGUGCUAAAAUUUGAAAUUAUUGUUAUUAGUGGCGGUAGCACGCCUGACAAGUUGCUCAGCAGCAUUUCGCCCGUCCUUGCGUUCUGAGUUCAAAUUUCACCGAAGUCGACUUUGUCUUUCAUCCUUUCGGGGUCGAUAAAAUAAGUAACAGUUGAGAACCAGGGUGGAUGUAAUCGACUUAUCUUCUA